GCGGCCGUCGUCUAGCCUGGUCUAGGACAGGGCUCCGCCUUUCGAGCCGGCGAUCCCGGGUUCAAAUCCCGGCGGCCGCACCA
rnacentral:tRNA from 1 species